AAAUGAAUUGACGGGACCCCGCACAAGCGGUGGAUCAUGUUGUUUAAUUCGAAGAUACGCGAAGAACCUUACCAGGUCUUGACAUCCCAUGCAAUGCUAUAGAGAUAUAUGCGGAGGUUAUCAUGGUGACAGGUGGUGCAUGGUUGUCGUCAGCUCGUGUCGUGAGAUGUUGGGUUAAGUCCCGUAACGAGCGCAACCCUUGUCGUUAGUUGCCAGCAUUUAGUUGGGGACUCUAACGAGACUGCCAGUGAUAAACUGGAGGAAGGUGAGGAUGACGUCAAAUCAUCAUGCCCCUUAUGACCUGGGCUACAAACGUGAUACAAUGGCUGGAACAAAGGGAAGCGAAGCAGUGAUGUGGAGCAAAACCCAUAAAAACAGUCUCAGUUCGGAUUGAAGUCUGCAACUCGACUUCAUGAAGCCGGAAUCGCUAGUAAUCGUGGAUCAGAAUGCCACGGUGAAUACGUUCUCGGGGUUUGUACACACCGCCCGU
rnacentral:rRNA from 1 species